AAAGCUGCGGUGUUCACCCGGUCCCAUCCCGAACCCGGUAGUUAAGCCCGCACACGUAUCCGGUUGUACUGUGGUGCUCGCGCCCAUGGGAACCCGGAUGAGCUGCUGACC
rnacentral:rRNA from 1 species